UAGAAAAACUGUUCAAAAUGGCGUUUUUGCGCGGUCUGUGCUGAGAUGUUAUGUGCAGAACAAUUGGAGCAAUCUGGAAGUCUGUGGAGAGAAGACCCAGUUGGAACCUCAGUUCAGUUUUGGAGUAUUAGCCAGCGGGCAAGGACUGUUUAACGACGCUGCCAUUAUCGACAUUGUAGCGUUGGUGACAAAGUGAAUAUUGUACUCGUAUAUGGAGCAGCUGGUGGAAUGAGAAUUGGCAGUGAAAACCGAAGAACUCUGAGAAUACCUGUCCCACUAAAAUUCUGUUCACCA